GAGGCCUACGGGGGGCAGCAGUGGGGAAUAUUGCACAAUGGGGGAAACCCUGAUGCAGCGACGCCGCGUGAGCGAAGAAGUAUUUCGGUAUGUAAAGCUCUAUCAGCAGGGAAGAAAAAUGACGGUACCUGAGUAAGAAGCACCGGCUAAAUACGUGCCAGCAGCCGCGGUAAUACGUAUGGUGCAAGCGUUAUCCGGAUUUACUGGGUGUAAAGGGAGCGCAGGCGGUGCGGUAAGUCUGAUGUGAAAGCCCGGGGCUCAACCCCGGGACUGCAUUGGAAACUGUUGUGCUGGAGUGUCGGAGG
rnacentral:rRNA from 1 species